rnacentral:rRNA from 1 species
AUACGUAGGGGGCGAGCGUUGUCCGGAAUGAUUGGGCGUAAAGGGCGCGUAGGCGGCCCGGUAAGUCUGGAGUGAAAGUCCUGUUUUUAAGAUGGGAAUUGCUUUGGAUACUGUCGGGCUUGAGUGCAGGAGAGGUAAGCGGAAUUCCUGGUGUAGCGGUGAAAUGCGUAGAUAUCAGGAGGAACACCGGUGGCGAGGGCGGCUUACUGGACUGUAACUGACGCUGAGGCGCGAAAGUGUGGGGAGCAAACAGGAUUAGAUACCCUGGUAGUCCACACUGUAAACGAUGAAUGCUAGGUGUAGGGGGUAUCGACCCCUUCUGUGCCGCAGUCAACACAAUAAGCAUUCCGCCUGGGGAGUACGGCCGCAAGGUUGAAACUCAAAUGAAUUGGCGGGG